UACGAAGGGGGCUAGCGUUGCUCGGAAUCACUGGGCGUAAAGGGUGCGUAGGCGGCGCGGUAAGUCGGGGGUGAAAUCUCGGAGCUUAACUCCGAAACUGCAUUCGAUACUGCCGUGCUUGAGGACUGGAGAGGAGACUGGAAUUUACGGUGUAGCGGUGAAAUGCGUAGAUAUCGUAAGGAAGACCAGUGGCGAAGGCGGGUCUCUGGACAGUUCCUGACGCUGAGGCACGAAGGUCAGGGGAGCAAACGGG
rnacentral:rRNA from 1 species